UACAAAUAUCUUCUUAUUAGUGAAAAUAAAAAGAAGGUUAAUUAUGGAUUCUCAGCUCACUAGUUGCCCCUGCUAUUGGGGCUGGAGAAAAUGUUCUUUGUUGGUCUUCUGGAGGAAAAGUGUAGAGAAAUGUUAUAAUAUGAGGUAUUAUUGCUAAAUAAUGAGAUAUGCUCUAUGAAGGUUGAUCAAUGUGAUGUGUUAACAGUGUCUGGUCCAUUCAGGUGGAAAUUAUAUUAAAUGGUUAAUUGGCCCUGUUAAAGCUCUGUUACAUUAUUGUGAUGAAGCUUUUGAUGAAUUGUAUUAUUUUUAUGUCUGGCCACCUGACUUCAGAAAGUUUCACUCACAUUUCACUGAAUUUUACUUCUACAGGAGCUGUUGCUGUUCUUUUACUUUUAGCUGUUGCUCUUCUUUGUGUGUACGAACUUUGUGCUGUGUAUGUUACAGCUGGUUCAAAGGCAUCUCAGUGGUAUUCGCCUUCUGGUUUCUUCUUUGGCGUAUCAGCAAUUGCCUUAGCAAUUAACAUGCUCUUUAUAUGUAGAAUGGUGUUUAAUGGAAACGACUUAGAUGUGGAUGAGUAUGUAAGGAAGGCAUACAAAUUUGUCUAUUCCAAUUGUAUAGAAGUGGGUCCUAUGGCUUGUUUACCAGAACCACCAGACCCUAAUGAGCUUUAUACUUGACAAUCUAGCAGGCAAGUCAUAGUAUAACCUUUACUUUACUUACUUGUCCUAUGAUUAUUUGUACAACAAUUUUUAUUUUCUUUUUUGCUGUUGCAUGCAGGUUCUGAUCUGUAGAUUGAUUGAUAGGCCUUUGCGUCCAACAAUGCUGAAAGGCUUCUACCAUGAAACUCAGAUACUUUCUUGGGUUCUGAGUUAUGAUGGUUUGCACUCUCUAGAUGCUUUGGCAAUUAUAGCUGCAGAAAUAGCAGUGUGAUUUUUUUUUCUACUUUUUUUUUUUGAAAUAUGAAAAUAUCAUGUACUGCCACUUCAAUAUCACAUUUAGAAUUUGAUAGACUAGCAUAUUUUUUUAGCCUGAUUAUAUAAAUUCCACAGUGCUUUAUCGGAAAUGCCAAAUGCAAAGACUAUUGCUGGAGUUCGAAUUGGCCUUGUUGGAGAUAAGACUAUUGCAGGUUGUUAACUUCAUUUGAGUAUGUAGCUGUAUGCUGGCAUGCUUUUAUUUAUUUACUUUUAGAUGCUUUGGCUAUGUGAUCUCACACUAUGCAUGAAUAUGGAAAUGUAGAACAAUCUGUAUUUUUUGUUUUGUUUUUGGAAUGCACAAAUUGGUUUGAUUGUAGUUAGUAAAAGAAGUAAUUUGGUUAUGGUUGAAAUGCAAAAUUGUAUAUUAUGAAUAAAAAUUGGUACUAAAGU